rnacentral:rRNA from 1 species
AUGCGUGUGUGGUACAUGUACUCGAUGCAUGACUUGCCGGUGUAUGCGCUAUUCGUUGGCUGGUGUGUGCAUGGAAGGUUCCCGUGCCCCACAUGCAAGGCAGCUCUUGAGUUUCGUCAGCUGCAGGCGGGUGGCAAGUAUUCUUGCUUCGACAUGCAUAGACAGUUCCUGGAUCCUCACUAUAAGUUCAUAAAAGACAAGAAGAACUUCAUCAAAGGUAGAGAUGUCAAAAACUCUGCACCACCUGCAUUGACAGGCCAACAGACCCUGGAUCAGUUAAACACUCUCGAGCCGGAUCCAGAGCGUCCAGGGUAUUUCAAGGGGUAUAAUACGGAACACGCCUGGACCCACAAGACAUGCUUGUGGGAUCUGCCGUACUUCAAAGACCUCCUUUGCCCACACAACAUCAACGUGAUGCACACUGAAAAGAAUGUCGGCGAGGCCCUCUUUGGUACAUUGUUCGGCAUAGAGGGGAAAACGAAGGAUAAUCCUAAGGCUAGAGUCGAUCAGGAGGCUCUAUGUGAUAGACCGCUACAAAACAUGAAACAACCAAAAGGAAAGAAUAACUGGGCGAAGCCAAAGUCAUGGUUCAAUCUUGGAAGGCCGGUUAUAAGGAAAAUACUCCUGUGGGUGAAAAAGGAGUUGAUGUUCCCCGAUGGGUAUGCAUCGAAUCUAAAGAGGGCAGCGAGCCUUGAAAAAUUGAAAAUAUUUGGUCUCAAGAGUCAUGAUUGGCACAUAUGGCUUGAGCGGGCAAUGCCGGUGAUGUUGCGUGGCUUUAUCCCUGAGGAUGAAUGGCUAGUACUGGCAGAGCUGAGCUAUUUCUUCCAUGUUCUAUGUGCGAAAGAAUUAUCGCCUGGCUUGCUAGAAGAAAUGGAAGAGUUGGCACCGGAGUUGAUCUGCAAGUUGGAGAAGAUCUUUCCACCUGGCUUCUUUAAUCCAAUGCAGCAUUUGAUUUUGCAUCUCCCGACCGAGGCACGAUUGGGGGGGCCGUGCAGAAUCGUUGGUGCUACGCAACUGAGAGGAUGCAGAAGACGCUUCGAGCAAAAUGUAAAAAUAAACGUCGAAUUGAAGCAUCGAUGGCCGAGGCAUUCAUUACUGAGGAGGCGGCAGACUUUGUGA